AUGGAAUGAUGCAACUUAGCCAAAGCAUACAUGAUGUGCUCCAUAAGGCAUUUAUUGAUCAAGCUGUAGACAAAAUGCCUUUUGUAGAAGUGCAUCUCUGAUGAUACAUUAGAGUUUGGUUAUUUGCUGACCACU